GCAAGUUAGUCAAUAGGACAUAGUUUUCUUAGUAUAUAUCAGUGGAUUGUGUCUCAUUGUAGUAUUUAUAUAUAUAUAUUAACAUUAACUGGUUGGCGGCAUUUCAGAGCAAAGUACAUCCUAUUGUAGUUUCAGUGCAUGGCUUGCAAAUAGAUAUCGACUGCUGACUUUUUCAUUGGUUUGUCUAUCCACUAUUCCCUAGAAGAUCUACAAGUCUUUAAAAUAGGGGAGUAUUUACUUGUGACUAUAACUAAAACACAAGGUGCGACAGAAAAAUAGUAUUAAUUCAAUAAGAUUUUCAGAAGAAAAUUUACUAUCUAAAUAGCAUAAGCCCAGGGAUAUUGUUAAUUUGAUGUUCAAAUAACACAUAUUUUCUUGAUGUCACAUCCUGUUUGACAUGUGUUCAUUAAAUAUUAUUUGCAGAUAAUUAUGCUAAAUAUUGCCUUUAUCAAUUAAAUAUUUUUCUUCGUUAAUUUCUCUGUUCUUUCUUCUACCAAGAACGCUGAUUGAUAAUUUUCAUUUUAAUUCCUACCUCAAAACUAAAAAAAAGAGGAAGGUUCUAUGCAAUCAUUGACGUUUUAGAAAUAGCAGUCAAUUUUAACUCAUCAUAUUCUAUUAUCUUUAAAAAAACUGCUAGAAUGCUACAUAAUUACUAAUUAACAAAAUGAGUAGAUGACCAGAUUCAGGCCACUUCUGAUGAUAUGGCUGUUUAAUGAAGGCAACAACAACAAAUAAAAAUCAUUUGAUGACCUUACAAGGGAGCCUUUAAGUGGUUGCUUAACAUGCUAGAAAUAGUGGACAAAUAUUCCUCAAAUCACACCCUACCAUCUUAAAAAUAUUGGAAGGAAGGCAUGAUACCUUGGAUAGUAUAAUUCUUAAUAGACUAUGACUGAAAGAAAAGUGGUUUGGUUACAGAAUGCCUUUGAUCAUAUUUUUACUCAAUCAGGAUUGAAUUGUUACUAAGCUAAAUAACUAAAAAAUUUCUGGUCAAGUUUUCAGAUUAAAAUGAUAUAAUACUGAUGAAAACUAACCACCGAUCCCUCAUCAAACCAAUCACCCUUAUUGACUCAUUCAUAAAUUUCACUUAUGGUCAAGAUUUCUUACCCUUCACUUUGCUUUCCACUUCAAAUACAUAAAAGAAAUAACUUUGUUAGAGACAUUAAGCCAAUUUCAGUAACUUACAGUUUCACGUUGUCACAGUGACCAGACAGAUUUUGUGUGGACAGUCAGUUGGUUUUAAACAACAACAACAACAACAAUAAUAAUAAUGAUAGUGGUAAUAAUCCUUUCUACUAUAGUCACAAGACCUGAAAUUUUGGCUGAGCAAGCUAGUCUAUUACAUUGCCCCCAAUGCUCAAUUUGUACAUAUUGACCCUCAAAAGGUUGAGAGCAAAGUCAAGCUUGGCAAAAUUUGAACAUCGACCACUAAAAAUUGUUUCGCAUGCCAAAAAUUCUGCCAGCCCACUGCUUUAGUAAUAAUAGUGAUGAUCAUUUAAUGUCAAUGUUCCAUGCUAGCAUGGGUUAGGUAGUUUAUCAGGUUCCAAGGACUGCAUCGUGUUUUAGUAUCUGCUUUGAUAUGGUUUCUUUGGUUGGAUGCCCUUCAUAAUGCCAACCAUCUUACGGGAUUUGCUGAGUGCUUUUUUCGUGUCACCAGCACUAGUGAGAUCACUAUGCAGCUUGGUAGACUACAAAAUCUGAGGUGGUGGUGGUGGUGGUAGCUUUGUGCUAGGAAAUGAGGAGGUAAAGUAUGUAAGAAGUGGGUGGUGAAGUAGGUUCUUGGUUUAGAGGAGCUACAUGGCUAAAGGAGUGUGAGAAUACUCAGUAGGAGCUGCAAAGGGAUAGAUAUAAAUAGUAGUAUUGAGGUAUCCAAAUGGCUCCUCAAGAUAUUAGAUGAGUAGAAGUAAGUAGGAACAGGAACAGAGAGUGUGGGUGGGUGAAAAGAAUGUAUGGAGGAGCAAGAGACAGGGAAAUGGGAGAGGGGUGGUAGGCAAAAACUGUAAUGAUUGGGCUGGGUUUUAAGGUGAAUAUAUAGAGUGAUGGAUAAAGGGUAGGGAAUGACCAGUGACACACCGGCCAAGGAAGGUCAUGGGAUAGAGAAAUAAGUGGAAGCCAGGAGCAGCAGGAUAAUAAUUAUGAUACAGUUGACAUAAGUCAUUUGAAGGACAGAGUUAACAUGUGGCUGGGAGGCUGCAGAAAGGAGAGAGGCUGGCAUAGUGCAUGGUAGAAGAUGGGACAUGUUAUGAAACUGUUGAUGGUCAUUAUGUUGUUCAAUUUUUAAUAGGAUAUGAAUAGGGUAUGAUUUAUAGAAGAUGACAGGAAACUGUGACUUCAUACCUCGAGAAAGACUAUAGAAAUUAAUAUUCAUAUACUAGAGUCAUUAUAAUUUCUUGACAGGGGCAGUUGAUUUUAAGAAACAGGAGAGAAUCAAAUACAAAAUGAUUUGUGUUUUCUAAUUGUGUUCCUUUAUGUUCUUUGUUCAAAUCCUGCCUUAGACAUAGGAAUCAAUGAAAUAAUACCAAUUAAUUAUACUGACCCCUCAAAUAUGUGUGCAUGUGCAUUUGUUAGAAUGUGUUUUCUUUGGGCUGGAGGUGUAUCAGGGACUGAAAUCUAUCAAAGAUAUUCAGUAUAGUUCAGGAAUAGUGUCUUACUGCUAUGGACUGUCUAGAAGUGAAGGAAGCAAUAUAUUUAUGGCUCAUCUCUCAGCCCAAAAACAUAUUUUCGGAGAGAGUAAAGAAGGUUGUGCAAAGAUGGGCUGUAUUGAAAAGUAAGGAGACUAUGUUGAGAAAUGAUAUACAUUUAAGAUCUCUAUUAAUGCUGUAAUAAUUUUAAAAAAGAAAAUGAAAAUAAAAGUAAACACAUCACUGACUGCUAAUUUUUAGAGCACAGAAAGUGAAGAGACCAUGAUUAAUUUUAAUUGAAUAUUCGAAUUCAAACCAGCACUGUGGUGACUGAAGGGAAACCAUGUCAAGUGAAGUGCAGGAAAUUAAUUUUUCUACCAACUGGAAAAACAAAGAUCAUUGUGGAUAGUUAACAAACCCUCUUUAACCCUUUUGUUACCCUAUUUCUGUUGAGAUACUCUGUGUUUCUUUCAAUUAAUUUUAAAUAUAACAAAGAACUUAGUAAAAUAACUUAGUUAUCAUUCAGCUAGUGUUAGGAACGUUAAUUAUGACUAAGGUUUGGUGGAAGAUUUUAAUUCAUAACUUUUGUAAACAAGACAUUUGUACUACAGAGCCAGAGCCGGUUUCAGCCGGAUUGGUAACGAAAGGGUUAAGGUUAUAUCUUGGUCAAACACUAAGAAUUCAAUUACAUUUUCUUUGUAAGAUAUAUAAUGGUGGUAAGUUUAAAAUGCUGGUCUAAUCAUUACAUGAUCAUGAGCUCAUACAUUUGUACUGUUGUAGUAGAGUGUUGUGUCAUUUUCAAAACACCUAACUGUAUUUUCUCCAACUUCAACAAUUAAAAAAUACAGGUUCCAUUGCUACUUCACUGUCAUUAGGUUAGUGGCUAAAAAGUUGUUUCAGAAAACAAACUACCACAAUCAUGUAAAACUGAAUGAAAAACUGGCCUGACUGAGUGCUAAACUCCACCUCACUACCUCCUCUGAAAAAGCAGUUUUUCUCCAUGAACAUGUGUACCUUCAUUUGCCCCAACAUGUAGAAAACAGAAUCUUCUUAGUAUAAAUCAAAACAUCGCCACCACCACCACCACCACAACAACAACAACAGUAAUGCUAAUUAGAUUUUAUAUGCUGAUAUUGCUAAUUGGAUUUUCUAAGACAUUUACAUGUCUUUCCUAUAAUAAAAUGUGGCAGGUUUGUAUUUCAAACCUAUAGACUAGAAGUCAUUUAUAAUAUAAUUAAUUAACAUGCUAAAUAAUGUAAUUAAUAAACCAUAAUGUCAUUAUAUUUGACCUCACCAAAUUAAUGUGUUAAAAUUAAAAACUAAAGUCAUCAGAUAUCCAACUGUAAAUGCCAUUUGCUGUAAUUCUUACUAGAAAAUUUCUUUCAUUCCUUAAUUUUAUAAUCUUUGCUAUAGCAGCUAAACUAAGACCAGCUAUUAGUUAAUUCUAGUCAAAUGUAAUUUGAAUGAUUUAGCUAAAUUAAAAUAUUUUGUUGGUUAGUUUCUUGAAAGUAAGACAGAAAACUCUUACAUGAUUUCUAAGUCAAAUUAUGGGCAACAGCUGUUUAAUUAAUUAAUUUCCAUACUACCAAAAUUUAAAAUUUAAAAUUGAAUAGUUAGAAUAUUAAAUAACAAUUUUAAAAAUUACAUAUUUUUCAGUGCAGUGUGGUAUGAUAGAUAAAAGGUUUCUCUCAUUUUAUUUCCAAAGUUAAUCAUAUUACUUAUGUUCUCAGCAGAAAAAUACAUUUCAUUCUUUUUGUCUUUUGGCUAUUUUAUUGUAGUUCAAAUUAAUUUUGUUGGUGAUGUUUUAAACCUUACAUAAUAAUAGCUGUUUAAAUGAACCAGUGCCUGUUAUGCUAAACUUCAAUAAAAUGUACUUAUAUUGAAUUUACAUGAUGAUAGACAAAUAGGAAUGUCUCUCAUCAUAUUUUGUAACAAAUCAGCCACUGUGAACCAAUCAGAUAUGUACAAUUUGGCUUUCAAUUAAUACUUUCCUUUAUAGCAAAAACUUUGUGGUCAUCAGCAGAUUCCCAGAGAGUUGGGAUUAUGAUGAGCCUGUUUUGAUCUUCAGUUGAAGCCAUCUUCUAUCCAUAUGUUGCUAAUGCUCUUGGGAGAAAAUAUCAUAUAUAAUUCCUCCUUAAAACAUAGGUUCUUGUACCUAGUAAGAAAAAGAAGAAAAAAAAAAGAAAUUAAAAAGUAAAAAAUAUAAAAAAGAAUGAAAUAUAAUAUUUUUCUUUAUCUUUCUUAGAUCCACAUAAUGUAGUGUUUGAGAUUCACUUUUCCCAUUUUGAAUGAAUAUUAGAUCAUUUAGUAAACAUUGUCUACAAGAACUUGUAAAAAUAUAAUAGUAAUGUAACACGGUAUAGUAGUAAUAUAAACACAAUAUUGGCUUUGUGGGUGUGGACAAAGAACUCCACCCACCUUUCAGCACUUAGAUAGUCUCAAAAUAUCAAAAUUAAAACUAACAGUUAUCAGCACUGCUUAUCUUAUAAUAAACAACAUUCAACUCUAAUUCAUUUGCUUUCAUCAAUAUUUUUUUAAUCAAAGAUCGAUUCCUUGUAUUAAAUGGUCCCACAAGAUACCUAAAUUUUGAACUUCUUUACUUGGCUGUGAAAAUAGAAUAUAUAUCUAUAACAAAACAAAAAAAGAAUAACAACAAUAAUAAUGAUAACAACAAAAAUAAAGGAAUAUUUUCUUUUUGGCUUGCUAUUCUACGAGAAGUUCUGAUUUCACCAUCUGCAUUUGUUAUUUGUCUUCACUUUCUACAUCUCUUUUGUCUUUGAAAAGAUUGUUUUUCUUUUAUGUUUACAAGAAUAUGUUGCUAUUAGAAUGUAUAUCUCACAUCAAAAAAACACUUUUUUAAAUACAGGCAAUGACUUUUUAAUCUCAGCCAUUAUAUUGUAUGAAUUAUUUAGAGAAAUGAUGAUGUAGUGAAACAAUUAAAAGUUAACAUUAAAAUAAAGGAGGAAAAAUAUCCCGAGGGGAACAUUUUUCCUACUAAACGUAAAUAUGAUAGCAUCUCACAUGUGUAAUAUAAUGAGUUGAAUGACUGAGAUUAUGAAAACAAUUAGUAGAAAAAAACCCUUCUUUUAGGGUUGUUGAAACAUUUAAAAGCAACAAAGGAGAACUUCAAUAAAAUCAAUUAAUUGAAAUUUUGAAAAAUAUUAGAAAUACAGAAUGGGAGUAGAUCUGGUCUUAAAGCCAACUGGUGAAAGCAACUGGUAAGUUUCAGUCUUAUUUGACCUCCUUAGCAAACUGUUUUUUAUUCAGUUGGCAAGACUUAGAGUUAUCACUCUGUUUAUAGAAACAGAGGAAAUACAAUGAUGUAAAUUAUAAUUUAAAAAUGAAUUUUAUGAAUUGAUUUUUAAAAAAAUGUCUUUCCUCUCUAUUAUUCAAAUUAAUUCUGAAAUAAAAACAUUCAUUAACUUUA
rnacentral:lncRNA from 1 species